ACCACACCCCCAUCCGGAUGAAUUGUGUGAACCGAAUCUGCAUGUAGGAAUAAGUGAAUAACACCCCCAAUUUCCUUGAAACACGGCAACAAAUUUGUAAUUUGUUCAGGGUGCCGGCGAUAGCCAGCCUACUCUCGGUGAAGGGUACCGUUGAAUCUUCACCGUCCACCGACUAAUGCCUGCAGACGGUUGCCUCAAGCCUCGAUUUCAAUGGCGAGCUGGAGUCUCUAAGCUCCCCUGAAGAAACCACCCUGCACACUUUGCUGAAACACGUACUCGUGAUGAAAACUCACCUGUCUUGCCAUUCGAGCAGCGGAGACAACAUGCGUUGUCACACGUCCAUCUGUGGCUACCUGGCUGACAUGAGAGAAAAUAUGUGUGCACACCUGGUGUGCCGUGGCGAACAGGCCGAUGCGUGUUUGGCGAAGGCAGAGCCUGCCGCGCUGGAUAUUGACAGUCAGAGCUACAGCCAAUUGGGCAAGGGAACCAUGCACCGUGAAGUGCUGGAGAAGAUGCGGGUUUUGGCCAAGCAUUACGACCAGCUUAAGAAUGCAUGUCCUCUUUGAACAAUUGUGCUUCCAUUCCAUUCUUAAUGGAGAAACAUUUUAACAAAUAUUAUGUUGUAAAUGAAGACUAUUUAAUAUUUAUUCUCUUAAUAUAAACUAAUAAUUUAUGCUGCAUUUUCACAUGC
rnacentral:lncRNA from 1 species